rnacentral:rRNA from 1 species
CCUACGGGUGGCAACAGUGAGGAAUAUUGGUCAAUGGGCUUACGCCUGAACCAGCCAAGUCGCGUGAGGGAAGACUGCCCUAUGGGUUGUAAACCUCUUUUGUCAGGGAGCAACGCCGGCUACGUGUAGCCGGACUGAGAGUACCUGAAGAAAAAGCAUCGGCUAACACGGUACCAGCAGCCGCGGUAAUACGGGGGAUGCGAGGGCUAUCCGGAUUGUUUGGGUUAAAGGGUGGCGAAGGCGGAAUGCCAAGUCAGCGGGAAAAUCGCGGGGCUCAACAUCGCUUCGCCGUUGAAACUGGCGUUCUUGAGUGGGCGAGAGGUAUGCGGAAUUCGUGGUGUAGCGGUGAAAUGCAUAGAUAUCACGCAGAACUUCGAAUGCGAAGGCAGCAUACCGGCGCCCAACUGACGCUGAAGCACGAAAGCGUGGGUAUCGAACAGGAUUAGAUACCCCAGUAGUC